CUUGCCUUCGACGGAGCCUCUCUAUUUUGUUGUUGAAUGUUCAGUGACAAAUGAUCCACACGUUUCUGAAGUCUUUUUUGGUGGCCACGCUUAAUCGGUAGAAAGGAGGGAGAGGGACAGGAAAAUCCAGAUUUCGGAAUACCAGGUUGGACGUUGUUGGCGCUGGGUUCAGCUAAGAUGGCCUCACUUUCACACCCCUGUUUAAUGGUGCUGAUGGGCUUCGGCUUGUUCUUCGCAACUGCAGCACAGACAUGUCCACAAUAUUGUCGCUGUUCGUUACCGAGCGUAAUUUGCAAUUAUAGAAACCAAACCAGACUCCCAACUGCCUUGCCUAUCAAUAUGACCGGUCUGAAUAGCCCGGUACAUGCACGGAAACAGAUGGGCACAGCCAGGUCUCCGUGAGGCAAGCAAUACUUGGCUUAGUGCUCUCCAGAACAAUCGAAAGUUCAGCUAAUUUAUCGACGAGAGACCGACAAUUCAUGGUUAUCAGCGUUAUGUCGGAUUCUGAUCUGGGGUAGAAUGGGGUAGCAUGCAAGUUGAGGGAAGACAUAGACAACAUGAUUAUGACGAGGAACUAUCACCACCACGUUCAGUCACGUUG